UACGUAGGGCGCAAGCGUUGUCCGGAAUCAUUGGGCGUAAAGAGCGUGUAGGCGGUUCGGUAAGUCGGCUGUGAAAGUCCAGGGCUCAACCCUGGGAUGCCGGUCGAUACUGCCGGACUAGAGUUCGGAAGAGGCGAGUGGAAUUCCCGGUGUAGCGGUGAAAUGCGCAGAUAUCGGGAGGAACACCUAUGGCGAAGGCAGCUCGCUGGGACGUUACUGACGCUGAGACGCGAAAGCGUGGGGAGCAAACAGG
rnacentral:rRNA from 1 species